rnacentral:rRNA from 1 species
GAAUAUUGGUCAAUGGAGGCAACUCUGAACCAGCCAUGCCGCGUGCAGGAAGAAUGUCCUAUGGAUUGUAAACUGCUUUUGUACGGGAAGAAAAAGAGCUACGUGUAGCUUAUUGACGGUACCGUAAGAAUAAGGAUCGGCUAACUCCGUGCCAGCAGCCGCGGUAAUACGGAGGAUCCGAGCGUUAUCCGGAAUCAUUGGGUUUAAAGGGUCCGUAGGCGGUUUUGUAAGUCAGUGGUGAAAUCCGGCAGCUUAACUGUCGAACUGCCAUUGAUACUGCAGGACUUGAAUUACUGUGAAGUAACUAGAAUAUGUAGUGUAGCGGUGAAAUGCUUAGAUAUUACAUGGAAUACCAAUUGCGAAGGCAGGUUACUAACAUUAUAUUGACGCUGAUGGACGAAAGCGUGGGUAGCGAA